CUUUAUGGGGUGACUGCGUACCUUUUGUAUAAUGGGUCAGCGACUUAUAUUCUGUAGCAAGGUUAACCGAAUAGGGGAGCCGAAGGGAAACCGAGUCUUAACUGGGCGUUAAGUUGCAGGGUAUAGACCCGAAACCCGGUGAUCUAGCCAUGGGCAGGUUGAAGGUUGGGUAACACUAACUGGAGGACCGAACCGACUAAUGUUGAAAAAUUAGCGGAUGACUUGUGGCUGGGGGUGAAAGGCCAAUCAAACCGGGAGAUAGCUGGUUCUCCCCGAAAGCUAUUUAGGUAGCGCCUCGUGAAUUCAUCUCCGGGGGUAGAGCACUGUUUCGGCAAGGGGGUCAUCCCGACUUACCAACCCGAUGCAAACUGCGAAUACCGGAGAAUGUUAUCACGGGAGACACACGGCGGGUGCUAACGUCCGUCGUGAAGAGGGAAACAACCCAGACCGCCAGCUAAGGUCCCAAAGUCAUGGUUAAGUGGGAAACGAUGUGGGAAGGCCCAGACAGCCAGGAUGUUGGCUUAGAAGCAGCCAUCAUUUAAAGAAAGCGUAAUAGCUCACUGGUCGAGUCGGCCUGCGCGGAAGAUGUAACGGGGCUAAACCAUGCACCGAAGCUGCGGCAGCGACACUAUGUGUUGUUGGGUAGGGGAGCGUUCUGUAAGCCUGUGAAGGUGGCCUGUGAGGGUUGCUGGAGGUAUCAGAAGUGCGAAUGCUGACAUAAGUAACGAUAAAGCGGGUGAAAAGCCCGCUCGCCGGAAGACCAAGGGUUCCUGUCCAACGUUAAUCGGGGCAGGGUGAGUCGACCCCUAAGGCGAGGCCGAAAGGCGUAGUCGAUGGGAAACAGGUUAAUAUUCCUGUACUUGGUGUUACUGCGAAGGGGGGACGGAGAAGGCUAUGUUGGCCGGGCGACGGUUGUCCCGGUUUAAGCGUGUAGGCUGGUUUUCCAGGCAAAUCCGGAAAACCAAGGCUGAGGCGUGAUGACGAGGCACUACGGUGCUGAAGCGACAAAUGCCCUGCUUCCAGGAAAAGCCUCUAAGCAUCAGGUAACAUCAAAUCGUACCCCAAACCGACACAGGUGGUCAGGUAGAGAAUACCAAGGCGCUUGAGAGAACUCGGGUGAAGGAACUAGGCAAAAUGGUGCCGUAACUUCGGGAGAAGGCACGCUGAUAUGUAGGUGAAGCGACUUGCUCGUGGAGCUGAAAUCAGUCGAAGAUACCAGCUGGCUGCAACUGUUUAUUAAAAACACAGCACUGUGCAAACACGAAAGUGGACGUAUACGGUGUGACGCCUGCCCGGUGCCGGAAGGUUAAUUGAUGGGGUUAGCGGUAACGCGAAGCUCUUGAUCGAAGCCCCGGUAAACGGCGGCCGUAACUAUAACGGUCCUAAGGUAGCGAAAUUCCUUGUCGGGUAAGUUCCGACCUGCACGAAUGGCGUAAUGAUGGCCAGGCUGUCUCCACCCGAGACUCAGUGAAAUUGAACUCGCUGUGAAGAUGCAGUGUACCCGCGGCAAGACGGAAAGACCCCGUGAACCUUUACUAUAGCUUGACACUGAACAUUGAGCCUUGAUGUGUAGGAUAGGUGGGAGGCUUUGAAGUGUGGACGCCAGUCUGCAUGGAGCCGACCUUGAAAUACCACCCUUUAAUGUUUGAUGUUCUAACGUUGGCCCGUAAUCCGGGUUGCGGACAGUGUCUGGUGGGUAGUUUGACUGGGGCGGUCUCCUCCUAAAGAGUAACGGAGGAGCACGAAGGUUGGCUAAUCCUGGUCGGACAUCAGGAGGUUAGUGCAAUGGCAUAAGCCAGCUUGACUGCGAGCGUGACGGCGCGAGCAGGUGCGAAAGCAGGUCAUAGUGAUCCGGUGGUUCUGAAUGGAAGGGCCAUCGCUCAACGGAUAAAAGGUACUCCGGGGAUAACAGGCUGAUACCGCCCAAGAGUUCAUAUCGACGGCGGUGUUUGGCACCUCGAUGUCGGCUCAUCACAUCCUGGGGCUGAAGUAGGUCCCAAGGGUAUGGCUGUUCGCCAUUUAAAGUGGUACGCGAGCUGGGUUUAGAACGUCGUGAGACAGUUCGGUCCCUAUCUGCCGUGGGCGCUGGAGAACUGAGGGGGGCUGCUCCUAGUACGAGAGGACCGGAGUGGACGCAUCACUGGUGUUCGGGUUGUCAUGCCAAUGGCACUGCCCGGUAGCUAAAUGCGGAAGAGAUAAGUGCUGAAAGCAUCUAAGCACGAAACUUGCCCCGAGAUGAGUUCUCCCUGAGACUUAGAGUCUCCUGAAGGAACGUUGAAGACGACGACGUUGAUAGGCCGGGUGUGUAAGCGCAGCGAUGCGUUGAGCUAACCGGUACUAAUGAACCGUGAGGCUUAACCUU
rnacentral:rRNA from 1 species